CAGUAGCCGCGGUAAUACGAGGGGGGCAAGCGUUGUUCGGUAUUAUUGGGUGUAAAGGGUGCGUAGGCGGUUUGGCAAGUCUUAUGUGAAAUCUUCGGGCUCAACCCGAAGUCUGCAUGAGAAACUGCCGGGCUUGAGUAUGGGAGAGGUGAGUGGAAUUUCCGGUGUAGCGGUGAAAUGCGUAGAUAUCGGAAGGAACACCUGUGGCGAAAGCGGCUCACUGGACCAUAACUGACACUGAGGCACGAAAGCGUGGGGAGCAAACAGGAUUAGAGACCCCCGUAGUCCCUGUCUCUUAUAC
rnacentral:rRNA from 1 species